rnacentral:rRNA from 1 species
AAAGCUCGUAGUUGAAUUUCGGGAUUGACACAUCGGUCGUGCCUUAAGGGGUAUGAACUGGUGUAGUCAAUUUCUCACCUUCUGGAGAACCGCGAUGCCCUUAAUUGGGUGUCACGGGGAACCAGGACCUUUACUUUGAAAAAAUUAGAGUGUUUAAAGCAGGCAUUUUGCUUGAAUACAUUAGCAUGGAAUAAUAAAAUAGGACGGCAUGAUUCUAUUUUGUUGGUUUCUAGGAUCACCGUAAUGAUUAAUAGGGAUAGUUGGGGGCAUUAGUAUUCAAUUGUCAGAGGUGAAAUUCUUGGAUUUAUUGAAGACUAACUACUGCGAAAGCAUUUGCCAAGGAUGUUUUCAUUAAUCAAGAACGAAAGUUAGGGGAUCGAAGACGAUCAGAUACCGUCGUAGUCUUAACCAUAAACUAUGCCGACUAGGAAUCAGACGAUGUUAAUUUUUUAAUGACUCGUUCGGCACCUUACGGGAAA